rnacentral:lncRNA from 1 species
AAAAUUGAAUUGAGGUUUAGAUAAACAAACCAUCCCAAUUUUGAGUACAAGAGAAAGUAAAAUUCUGAAUCAAGAUGAAUACAAUUGAUUUCAAAUCCAUCAUAAAACAAACUUGAUAAUCCAAUUUUUUUUUGUAGAAUUUGUUACCGGCAAUUUUGGGCAGCAAUCGCUACUCCCAAUUACAGUAUCUCACAAAUCACAAUCAUCGCCUCUAUCUCGUCCCAACCUGCCUUUCCCUAGAUCUCUCUAGCUAUCUCAUCUCCUUGUCGUAGUUGCCACACCAUCGUCGGCGUCGCGCCAUCGCC